GUAGGUGAACCUGCGGAAGGAUCAUUAAAAAUUAAAAAAACAUGGUGGGGAGCAUGGAAGCGAUUGAGGUUGAGUCUCUCGAUUCCCUCUUUUUGUGACCGUGUAAUCCAUCCAUGAAAACUCCGAUUUCAUAACAGGAAGGCGCAAGUCUACCCGUUGGGAAUAAAGAAAACAAAGAUGAAAAGGACGAAGACGAGCUGCAAAGCUUUGUUCUUGUUCUUUCCAACGACCCCGAUACUUUUGAAACCAU
rnacentral:misc_RNA from 1 species